GAUGAACGCUAGCGGCAGGCCUAAUACAUGCAAGUCGAACGGUGUCUUCGGACAUAGUGGCGCACGGGUGCGUAACACGUAUGCAACCUACCUUACAUUGGGGGAUAGCCUUUCGAAAGGGAGAUUAAUACCGCAUAAGACAGUAGCUGGGCAUCCAGCAGCUGUUAAAGAUUUAUCGAUGUAAGAUGGGCAUGCGUCCAAUUAGUUAGUUGGCGAGGUAAUGGCUCACCAAGACUUUGAUUGGUAGGGGAACUGAGAGGCCAAUCCCCCACACUGGCACUGAGAUACGGGCCAGACUCCUACGGGAGGCAGCAGUAGGGAAUAUUGGGCAAUGGACGCAAGUCUGACCCAGCCAUGCCGCGUGCAGGAUGAAGGCGUUAUGCGUUGUAAACUGCUUUUAUACAGGAAGAAACAACUCUUGCGAGAGGCAUUGACGGUACUGUAUGAAUAAGCACCGGCUAACUCCGUG
rnacentral:rRNA from 1 species